GGCGAACGCUGGCGGUAGGCCUAACACAUGCAAGUCGAACGGGUGCACAGUAAGAGCUUGCUCUUACGGGUGGCGAGUGGCGGACGGGGGAGGAGUACAUCGGAAUCUACUUUUUCGUGGGGGAUAACGUAGGGCAACUUACGCUAAUACCGCAUACGACCUACGGGUGAAAGCAGGGGAUCUUCGGACCUUGCGCGAUUGAAGGAGCCGAUGUCGGAUUAGCUAGUUGGCGGGGUAGAGGCCCACCAAGGCGAGGAGCAGUAGCUGGUCUGAGGGGAGGAUCAGCCAGACGGGAACAGAGACCGGGUCCAGACUCCGACGGUAGGCAGCAGUCGGGAAUCUUAGGGGAGGGAGGAGAGGCUGAUACAGCAAAACCGCGGGGAGGAAGAUGGAGUUCGGGUGGUAGAGCCAUGUUGUUGGGAAAGAAGUGCAGCAGGUUAAUACCGGGCGGUUAUGACGGUACCCAAAGAAUAAGCACCGGCUAACUUCGUG
rnacentral:rRNA from 1 species